rnacentral:rRNA from 1 species
AGAGUUUGAUCCUGGCUCAGGGAUGAACGCUGGCGGCGUGCCUAAUACAUGCAAGUCGAGCGGAAAGGCCUCUUCGGAGGUACUCGAGCGGCGGACGGCAGAGUAACGCGUAGGAACAUACCCCAAACAGAGGGAUAACUGCCCGAAAGGGUGGCUAAUACCGCAUGUGAUCUUCGGAUUAAAGCUUCGGCGGUUUGGGAAUGGCCUGCGUUCGAUUAGCUAGUUGGUGAGGUAAAAGGCUCACCAAGGCGACGAUCGAUAACUGGUCUGAGAGGAUGAUCAGUCUGACUGGAACUGAGACACGGUCCAGACUCCUACGGGAGGCAGCAGUAGGGAAUUUUCCACAAUGGGCGAAAGCCUGAUGGAGCAACGCCGCGUGCAGGAUGAAGGCCCUUGGGUCGUAAACUGCUUUUAUGUGAGAAGAAUAUGACGGUAACACAUGAAUAAGGGUCGGCUAACUACGUG